GAGACCUUGACAUCAACUGCCUCAACGCUAGUUAGCACAUUGCGGGAGCCAUCGACUUUGAGGGAGACAACUCUGCAACGCUUGGAGCAAUCGCGGCACUUCAUUGUACAACUCCUCCCAAUCACCAUAUAUCUAGGCAAUUGCCUUUUGUUUUGCCAUCCAAACCUUCUAGUAUGACGGCUUGAAGUGAUAGCUCUGUCUCACUGUUCUCUGUAGAACAGGAAUGGUCACUGAUGGAUUGGACUGUAUGAGUGGCAGGAUGAUUUUGCAUAUGA